rnacentral:rRNA from 1 species
CGGCGGACGGGUGAGUAAUGUCUGGGAAACUGCCUGAUGGAGGGGGAUAACUACUGGAAACGGUAGCUAAUACCGCAUAACGUCGCAAGACCAAAGAGGGGGACCUUCGGGCCUCUUGCCAUCGGAUGUGCCCAGAUGGGAUUAGCUAGUAGGUGGGGUAAAGGCUCACCUAGGCGACGAUCCCUAGCUGGUCUGAGAGGAUGACCAGCCACACUGGAACUGAGACACGGUCCAGACUCCUACGGGAGGCAGCAUG